rfam:Oryza glaberrima chromosome 12 Oglab12_0062_11, whole genome shotgun sequence.
AAUAAGUGCACUUUUGCACUAUUCAUAUUCAACAUUUGAUCAUUCGCCUUAUUUGAAAUUUUUUUAUAAUUAGUAUUUUUAUUGUUAUUUGAUGAUAAAACAUGAAUAUUAUUUUAUGUGUGACUUUUUUUAAAAAAAAUUCAAUACAUUUUUCAAAUAAGACGGAUGAUUAAAUAUUGAACACGGAUAUCCACAAUUACACUUAUU